rnacentral:lncRNA from 1 species
UGAGAAGCAAAAUGGAGUAAAAAAGAGCAAGAAGGCUUCAGUUGGUUUUGUUUGUUUGUUUGUUUUCCCAGAUUUUCUUCAGACUUCAAGCAGUUCAGGGUGCUUCUGACUUCUAGCUUCAAAAAGGAAGAUAGAAGAGGACAACCUCAUUUCAGAUUUCUAAAGAAUAAGAUUUGGGGAAGACAUGAGAAGAGACAAUAUGAGAAGAGACAUCAUGUCCCUAUCCUUAACUACAUUAGAGAUCACAAGAAGUUUCCUUUGGGGUCAAGUAAUGCAAAUUUCUGGAGGGAAUGUCUUUGCUGAUUCAUCUACUAUUUUUCAAGCUCCCUCUCCCAGAGUUAAGAAGCAAUUCCACUGGGUUAUACAGACAGAAAACCUAUGGAUAGAAGAUGAAAAGAGUAAAAUUACAGGUUGAUAUAAGGAAAUAUUUUAAAUAAAUGGAG